GCCUCCUUAGCUCAGCUGGCCAGAGCUCCGAUCUUGUAAGUCGGAUGUCGUCGGUUCGAAUCCGACAGGGGGCC
rnacentral:tRNA from 7 species